GUGAGUCUCUAGGGGAUUAGC
rnacentral:miRNA from 1 species